ACCUCCUAAUUUAAAAAAUAUUGUUACUUUAUAAUAUUGUUCAAUGUUCAUAUAUUUCAUCCGGGUUUGAUACUAAAAAUGAAACGUGUAACAACGCUCAUUAUGCGCCGUAUCUCCAGUAUCGAAUCAUAACGUUUUUCAUAUGAAAUUUCAUAUUAAUACGUCUCAUAUUAAAAAUUAAGACUAAAUAUAAGAUAUUCUUGUCGUAUGCGAUCUACUGCCCGUUCCUACAUACAACAUACGUCAUAAGCGGUCUACCACGCAUGUUUCUAUUUAUGAAUAUGUCUAUACCACUACCACAUAGAUGUGAUGGUCGAUGAACCCUUUAUGGUUCGGGAUUCGGAGAUCACGAAGAGUAUAAUAUAGAUUUCGGUUCGUCAACCACCAUCCGCAUAAGACGCGACCCUAUCCAUCUUUAUCGUACACACUGCGAUAAUAUUACGUGUAAGCAAUUCAUAGUGUACACUAAUUUUUGUUUUUUAGACGCCACCAUCAUUGGAACGCCAAAUACGAGGGCAGCAAUGAUGGUGAUGUACCGAUUGUACCAUGAAUUUUUUAAGCUAUAUUUGAAAUUUUAAACCUCCCCAUAAACUUUCUAUGCGUAUAGUGUGUGUGCGCCACUGGUGGAUAUGACAAGAAAUUGAGAAUGGUUGACGGUUUUGUAUUUGUACCUACUACCUACCCUUUAGACUUUAGUUAAGUGGUAGACCACACAUAUGACCUGUAAAAACCAUGCGUGGUAUACGAGAAGUGUGAUGCGUUAGACCGAAUACGACAAGAAUUAACAUAUUUUAAAUUUAUAAAUUUAAGAAAUUAUACAUGAGAUAAGAGCUUCCAACCUAAUAUAGUUAUGAAUAACUUGUUAAAAAACUAGAACUAGCUGCUAC